AGGGAAAUAUUUAGAAAUGCAGAUAAAGAUUUAUGAAUAGUGGUAUUUAUGACAGUAUUACUAUAAGUAAGAAAUGACCCAGAUGUCCACCUUGGAUAAUUAAAGUAAGAUAUAUCUAUAUGAGGAAAUAUUAUGCAACCAUUGAAAUGUUUGUGAAGAGAGUUUUAUGAACUACCCAGUGAUAUGAUUUUUAAGCAAAAGUAAAAUAUAAAAUUGUAUAUAACGAAUGACCUCAAGCAUUAGAAAACACAGACAAAUAAGGCUGCAAUAAAUUAUGCCUAUUUGUUAAGAGUAGUUAUUUCUGAUGAGUGAGAUGACGUAUUUUCCAAUUUUUCUAUUGUAAAAAGUGGAUUAAUAUUCAAUGUCAAUAUUUAAUUAAAAUCAAUACAUAACUUUAAAAAGAUUGCUAUCACAACGUUUCUCUGCAAAACCGAAUAGAUGACCAAUACUCGCCCUGAAGACAUCCCAGAGUGGGGCUGAAGAAGGCUCCGCCGAAACUUGCUGCCGAUGCCCGGCCUGGCUUGAAGAGGUGAUUAGAGUUGCCGCCUGUAAAGCAGUUAAAGGACACCAUAAAAAUUCAGGUGUGAUUCUCAUCUGAGGAUCCCUCGCAAUUCUACUCCUCUGUCCAGAAGUCUCUUAGCAAAUUCAAAACAGCUGGAAAUAGUUGCAUGCCUAAGAGUGAGAGAAAUUGCUUCAGUGAGUCAACCAAACCUGGGUCUGAUUAGUGCCUGCAUGUAUCUUGGAGACAGUGAUCUGGGAGCUGAGGUACAAUAAUAAUGGCUAAUAACAGCAAACAUUAUUUAGUAAUUACUAUGUGCCAGGAGUUGUGCUAAAUGCUUUGCAUAAAUGAUCUAAUUUAUUCCUCACAACUACCCCUUGAGAUAGAUAGGGAAUUGCAGACCUGAGCAGUUGAAUAAUUUGCUUAUGAUUGAGUAGUUUAGAGAGUAUUACAAUCUGAAACAGAGACAAUUCGGUGGUUAAUAAAUAGGAGCAAAAAGUGCUUUGUAAGCCA
rnacentral:lncRNA from 1 species